rnacentral:rRNA from 1 species
AACGAACGCUGGCGGCAGGCUUAACACAUGCAAGUCGAGCGCCUCGCAAGAGGAGCGGCAGACGGGUGAGUAGCGCGUGGGAAUCUACCCAUCCCUACGGAACAACUCCGGGAAACUGGAGCUAAUACCGUAUACGCCCUUCGGGGGAAAGAUUUAUCGGGGAUGGAUGAGCCCGCGUUGGAUUAGCUAGUUGGUGGUUUAAAGGCCUACCAAGGCGACGAUCCAUAGCUGGUCUGAGAGGAUGAUCAGCCACAUUGGGACUGAGCCACGGCCCAAACUCCUACGGGAGGCAGCAGUGGGGAAAAUUGGACAAUGGGCGCAAGCCUGAUCCAGCCAUGCCGCGUAAGUGAUGAAGGUCUUAGGAUUGUAAAGCUCUUUCACCGGAGAAGAUAAUGACGGUAUCCGGAGAAGAAGCCCCGGCUAACUUCGUGCCAGCAGCCGCGGUAAUACGAAGGGGGCUAGCGUUGUUCGGAAUUACUG